UGGAUCCAGACUUUGAUCAUGGCUCAGGAUGAACGCUAGCUACAGGCUUAACACAUGCAAGUCGAGGGGAAACGACAUCGAAAGCUUGCUUUUGAUGGGCGUCGACCGGCGCACGGGUGAGUAACGCGUAUCCAACCUGCCCACCACUUGGGGAUAACCUUGCGAAAGUAAGACUAAUACCCAAUGAUAUCUCUAGAAGACAUCUGAAAGAGAUUAAAGAUUUAUCGGUGAUGGAUGGGGAUGCGUCUGAUUAGCUUGUUGGCGGGGUAACGGCCCACCAAGGCGACGAUCAGUAGGGGUUCUGAGAGGAAGGUCCCCCACAUUGGAACUGAGACACGGUCCAAACUCCUACGGGAGGCAGCAGUGAGGAAUAUUGGUCAAUGGGCGAGAGCCUGAACCAGCCAAGUAGCGUGCAGGAUGACGGCCCUAUGGGUUGUAAACUGCUUUUAUAAGGGAAUAAAGUGAGUCUCGUGAGACUUUUUGCAUGUACCUUAUGAAUAAGGACCGGCUAAUUCCGUGCCAGCAGCCGCGGUAAUACGGAAGGUCCGGGCGUUAUCCGG
rnacentral:rRNA from 1 species